rnacentral:tRNA from 1 species
GGAGGGGUCGCAUAGUGGUCCAUUGCGCCUCACUGCUAAUGAGGUGGGGAGUUUUUCCCCGCGUGGGUUCGAAUCCCACCCCCUCCG